ACUUACAUCUUUCCAACCAUUAGAGUUACUUGCUUGACAUGUGAGUAGACCUCCAUGCAAGUACUCUUGUUCGAUUGUGUUCAGUGAACUCAUUCCCCUAAUGAGCACCUACAUACUUGUCUUAGUGUCACAACACGAAUGGGAUGAGACUUUCCAUCCUUCCAAUUGAAGCAGACAUAGUAUGUACCAGUCUACGCAUUGUCAGUAUCCCUCCGACAAUCCAACGACUAGGAACCUUUUGGACACAAUGGUUAUGUGAAGAAGGUCUCUGUAGUCUAACAUCAUUAGAUUACUUCUUCAAUCGAUCCAUUGUCCAUGGAUACACUAUUUAGGACAUAUAUCGUUAAUUGAGAUAGUCCUAAUUCGUGUCUUUGCCAUUUGAUGUAUAAGAAUCAUCCAUACAUCGAUUCAUUUGUCCUGAAAGAUUUCUUCCAAAGAUUGACUUUCAGGGCAUAUUUCCAACAAUUCCUUCGCAAGAAUGGUGAUGGUGUUGCUCUUAAAACACUUGAAAAAUACCAUGACAGCAAAAAAAAAAAAAAUCAGCCAUAAAACUUAAGCAGCAUGACAAAGAGGGCAGCUACAGAGCUGUCCUUCAAGGCACAUUACACUGGCAAACAAAACUAAAAUGCUACACAAUAGCACUACACAAUCCCGUAGCAGUUACGCAAGUAGUUCUUGCACUGCAUGGCAAUGGCACCACCAAGGGGAUAACUAUGACCAAAAGGCAUUAUGCAGCGAAGCCCCACUGCAGGCUCUUGCACAGCACCACAUGACAGCGCACCACCGAGCGAAAACUGUGAUCAAAUGGCAUUACACAGCGAAACCUCGUUUCAGUCUCUGGCACAAGCACUAGGCAACCUGCUCAUUUCACCACCAACAACCACGUCUUUGAAAGCUUCGUGAGAGUCCCGGGAUCAUGCUCUGCCUUCUUAAAAUUAAAGAUUCUUGACAUUGCAGCAAAGAAAUCCAUCGGUGGGGUACACAUAUAUAUUAUAUACAAAUAAACACAUCAUAUAUAUAUAUAUAUAUGUGACUUACAGAGUAAAGUCUGCAUGAAGGUGAUAAGACAGCCACUUUCCAUAUACGUGACUCACCAAGUAGAGGCUGCAUGAAGGAAUUUUAGAGGUCGAAGAGGUGGAAAGCAUGCAAAAUUGCAAAGGUCGAAAAGGUCUAGUGAUGACUCGCGCCUCGUCUCCAGUGCAACCGAACUUCCACAAAUAGCACGGAGAGUUGCAAAGGUCGAAACAGUGGAAGGCAACUCACCCUUGCAGUUCGAACCUCCACUCGCAACCACUCUUUUUGUCCAAUACCAAAUUCAGCGGGCGGCAGAUGCGAAGAAUGCAGUGCAGCACAGGAUUGCAGGAUAGUGCAGCUGGGAUGCAAGACAGUAAGCAAGUGCAGUGGCUGUACAAUAGCCAUGCAAUGCGCUAUAUGUGUGUAUGCAUACGUAUAUAUAAUGGUCUCAACAGUUGCAAAUGAAACCAGUCUGCAUAUAGUGCAAUCCAUAAUGAUCUCUCAAGCAUCACUAACCCGCAUAAGCAAAAGAGGGGUGGUAACUGUGCAAAUAACAAUCCGCGUGCAGUGAAAAGUGUAAUAAGAUAACUAUGCAAAUAAUGGGGCAGUGACUGAGCAAACAACAAUCUGUAGGCAAUGAAGAAUGUGAUAAGGUGACUGUGCAAGUAAAAAAAAGAUGGUCUGUAUGCAAGAAGAACGCAGUGCAGCGAGGAAGGCCACCAAGGAACCCGGCAGUGUUAAUCUACCAUACGCAUCAUCAGAACAUGUACACACAAGGAAGGUGCAAACUACUAUUAGCAAGUCCAGAAGGAAAAGGAAAAGAGGUGGUGGCGACAUAAUUAUUGAA
rnacentral:lncRNA from 1 species